UAGGGAAUCUUCCACAAUGGACGCAAGUCUGAUGGAGCAACGCCGCGUGAGUGAAGAAGGUCUUCGGAUCGUAAAGCUCUGUUGUUGGUGAAGAAGGAUAGAGGCAGUAACUGGUCUUUAUUUGACGGUAAUCAACCAGAAAGUCACGGCUAACUACGUGCCAGCAGCCGCGGUAAUACGUAGGUGGCAAGCGUUGUCCGGAUUUAUUGGGCGUAAAGCGAGCGCAGGCGGAAUGAUAAGUCUGAUGUGAAAGCCCACGGCUCAACCGUGGAACUGCAUCGGAAACUGUCAUUCUUGAGUGCAGAAGAGGAGAGUGGAACUCCAUGUGUAGCGGUGGAAUGCGUAGAUAUAUGGAAGAACACCAGUGGCGAAGGCGGCUCUCUGGUCUGCAACUGACGCUGAGGCUCGAAAGCAUGGGUAGCGAACAGGAUUAGAUACCCUGGUAGUCCAUGCCGUAAACGAUGAGCGCUAGGUGUUGGGGACUUUCCGGUCUCA
rnacentral:rRNA from 1 species